GAUGAACGCUGGCGGCGUGCCUAACACAUGCAAGUCGAGCGAUCUUCUUCGGAAGAGAGCGGCGGACGGGUGAGUAACGCGUGGGUAACCUGCCCUGUACACACGGAUAACAUACCGAAAGGUAUGCUAAUACGGGAUAACAUACUUUUAUCGCAUGGUAGAAGUAUCAAAGCUCCGGCGGUACAGGAUGGACCCGCGUCUGAUUAGCUAGUUGGUAAGGUAACGGCUUACCAAGGCGACGAUCAGGAGCCGACCUGAGGGGGUGAUCGGCCACAUUGGAACUGAGACACGGUCCAAACUCCUACGGGAGGCAGCAGUGGGGAAUAUUGCACAAUGGGCGAAAGCCUGAUGCAGCAACGCCGCGUGAGCGAUGAAGGCCUUCGGGUCGUAAAGCUCUGUCCUCAAGGAAGAUAAUGACGGUACUUGAGGAGGAAGCCCCGGCUAACUACGUGCCAGCCGCCGCCGUAACAC
rnacentral:rRNA from 1 species